rnacentral:rRNA from 1 species
GAUGAACGCUGGCGGCGUGCCUAAUACAUGCAAGUCGAGCGAACAGAUGAGGAGCUUGCUCCUCUGACGUUAGCGGCGGACGGGUGAGUAACACGUGGAUAACCUACCUAUAAGACUGGGAUAACUUCGGGAAACCGGAGCUAAUACCGGAUAAUAUAUUGAACCGCAUGGUUCAAUAGUGAAAGACGGUUUUGCUGUCACUUAUAGAUGGAUCCGCGCCGCAUUAGCUAGUUGGUAAGGUAACGGCUUACCAAGGCAACGAUGCGUAGCCGACCUGAGAGGGUGAUCGGCCACACUGGAACUGAGACACGGUCCAGACUCCUAGGGGAGGCAGCAGUAGGGAACUUUCCGCAAGGGGCGAAAGCCUGACGGAGCAACGCGGCGUGGGUGAUGAAGGUCUUCGGAUGGUAAAACUUUGUUAUAAGGGAAGAACAAAUGUGUAAGUAACUAGGAACGUCUUGACGGUACCUAAUCAGAAAGCCACGCCUAACUACGU